ensembl:rRNA 5S_rRNA 5S ribosomal RNA
GUCCGCGGCCGGGCCACCCUGCGGAAGCCCGAGCCCGUCUGAUCUCAGAAGCUACGCAGGGUCGGGUCUGGUUAGUACUUGGAUGGGAGACCGCCUGGGAAAACCAGGUGCUGUAGACG